AAAAAUCUUUCAAGAAGGCAAAGAAAACAUAAAAAAAGUAAAAAAUUUUUUUUUAAAAAAACAAUUCCAAAGACAGUAACAUCGUAAGAAAUCAAAUUAUAAGCCCAAAAAUAGUACCGCAAGGGAAAAAUGAAAUAAUAAUAAAUAAAAAAUUUAUUAAAGUAAAGAUUAACACUUUUACCUCGUGUAUAAUGAAUUAACAAGAAAGAAGCUAGAAAAUGCUAACCCCGAAACCAAGCGAGCUACUCUUUUCUCUUUUUCAGAAAGGACAAGGUACUGUUGCAAUAGUACCCCCAAAGAAAAGAAUAGUUGUGAAAUGCUAAACGCGCUAGGAUAUAGCUGGCUUUCCGAGAAAUUAGUCUAAGCUAAGACCUCCAAACACAAAAAAGAAAAAUAUUACAAGAUAUUAGACAAUCUCCUAAAAUUUUAACAAAAGGUCAGAACACCAAGGAUAAACUUGGUGCUCAAGAUGGAAAAAGCCAACAAUUUUAGUUAAGGUCAAAGAACAAAAUAAAUAGACAAACAAAAAAAGAAUAGGCCUAGAAGCAGCCCUUUAACAAAAAAGCGUUAAAGCUUAAUUAAAAAACAAGUCUAAAAAAUAACUGAAAGCCAAACCAAAACUAAAAAAACGUAUCGGAAUAAUCUUUAAGAAGAGAAAACAAUGUUAAUAUGAGUAAGAAAGAUUUCACCUGCAACAUAUACGGAAAUAACCCUGGAAGUAGAAACAAUGAUAAUAAAAAAGUAAUUUCAAAAAACGUCUUCCAACGCAGGAGAAAGGAAAAAAAAAAAAAAAAAAAGGAACUCGGCAAAUAGUGCUUCGCCUGUUUACCAAAAACAUCGCCCCUUGUUAACUUUACAUAAGGGGUCCUGCCUGCCCAGUGACCAAGGUUAAACGGCCGCGGUAUCUUGACCGUGCAAAGGUAGCAUAAUCACUUGUCUCCUAAAUAGAGACUGGUAUGAAUGGCAAGACGGAGCUAGACUGUCUCUUUUUUUAACCCUGAAAUUUACUUCUACGUGAAGAGGCGUAGAUAAAAUCGCUAGACGAGAAGACCCUGUCGAGCUUAAAGUAAAACGUAAGACCCCCAAAAAGUUAAACAAUACUAAUCAAUAAAUUUACAAAACUUAGACUACAGCGUUCUUACGAAAAGCUUUGGUUGGGGCAACCGCGGAAAAAGAAAAUCUUCCGUUAACUAAAAAUUUAACAAAGGAAUACCCUCCUAAUAUCAGAAAUGAAAGCAUGAUCCACUUAGGUGAUCAAAGGAACAAGUUACCGCAGGGAUAACAGCGUUAUCUUUUUUGAGAGUUCACAUUGACAAAAAGGUUUGCGACCUCGAUGUUGGAUCGGGACAUCCUGAGGGUGCAGAAGCUCUCAAGGGUUGGUCUGUUCGACCAUUAAAGUCCUACGUGAUCUGAGUUCAGACCGGCGAAAGCCAGGUCAGUUUCUAUCUUCGUAAAAAUCUUUCUUAGUACGAAAGGACCAGAAAGAAAGUGUCCAUACAAAAACAAGCAAACACUAAAAUUAAAAAC
rnacentral:rRNA from 1 species